rnacentral:rRNA from 1 species
CAAGGGUCUCCGUAAGGUGAACCUGCBGGAGGGRUCAUUACCGAGUUGUGCGUGCGGGUAACCACCCCCGCUCCACAUCCCAUCCCCUGUUUAUAACAAACUGUAUGUCACUUCGGCGGGCCAGAUGCCCCAGGGCCCCCCUCCACCGCGGGGGGAGCGUCCGCCGCGGUCAACAACCUAGAACACUGCCAUAAUGCACCUGUCAGUCAUGCCCCCUCGCGGGGACUUGAAUAUCAAUUACAACCUUCAACAAUGGAUCUCUUGGCUCCGGCAUCGAUGAAGAACGCAGCGAAAUGCGAUAGCUAGCGUGAAUUGCAGAUUUCAGUGAAUCAUCGAGUCUUUGAACGCACACAGCGCCCCUUGGCAUGCCUUGGGGCACACCUGUUCGAGCGUCGUUUCUCCCAUCGGGCCCCGUUCGCGGGACCGGUCUUGGGGCGUGUCCCGCGCAACGCGGCGGCAGCCCUUGAAUCCAUCGGCGGCGGCACGGCCCCCGGAAUGCUGUAGAGGGCAUGCUCYGCGGGGACGAGCCACCGGGCCGUAAAACACUUUCGCGUGCGUCCUCCCGGGCGCACUGCAAGGUCGACCUCGAA